UCUGAUCUCCUUCUGGGUGCCACUGGCAAAAGCGUUUGAGGAAAACUAUCAGGCUUAUGAAAGAGGUUAAAGAGCUCCCAUGUCUAAUGUAACAAAAAUCCAAGAUGAUAAUAAGAAAAAAAAGAUUCUAAGAAAGUCGUGGGGACUUGUGAAGAGAGGUCGGCGAGCAGAUUAUAGGGAGCAAUGAGGAGAAACUGCUCAACCAGAGCUGCGAGGAAACCCCACAGUCUCCAGAACCACAACAAUGGUUCUCCCACAGGCCUGGAGACAAGUCCUGCCUGUUUUGGACCCUGCCUAGCUCUUCGACCUCACCUUUUCCUUUGUGGUGCAUUGUAGUAUUUUGGAGUUAUUUGUGGAACAGAAACCAAUGCAGUCAUCAUUACUGAGCUCGCACUUGUACUCCUCAGAUGUCUGUUUAUUCCUUCCUCUGUGUUCACAUUUGUGGAAUCGCCAUCUUUCUUGCUGGUGAUGUGUAACUGAAGGGAGAGAUGACGACGCAGAGCCAGCUGCCACUCUUCUUGGUGAAAUGACCUGUGUAUUGGGGGAUGGCCGCAAAGAGAGAAGAGCCUCUGGUGUUGCAUUUUGUAACCUGCCCCCCAUCCAUCCGGACCAAGCAUUGAAUUUUCUUUCUGAAGGCUCCCCCUCCCUCUUGCCAUUACCCAGUAGGGGCUUGGUGAUGGGAAGCUAAAUAGUCCUUUUGUGUUAGGCAGUUACUCUGUUUUUCCUAUCCACCCAGAGACCAGCGAUGUCCAGAUGAACUGCCACUUGUGGCAGGCGCUGGACUGGAGCUUAUGUUUUCUGUCUACUCCUCGCAUUCAGUGUAAAGUAUAAAGAAAAAAGUACACAACUAGAAAGCAUUUUUCCUGGGUCUGUGCAAACUGGCCUACCUUCUGGUUCUCCAUUGCUUUUUCACAGUGUUUGCGUUAGGUUCUGGAGUCCAUCGAAUUCCUUUUUAACUUCGUGGCCUCUCCAGCUUGGGGUUCAGGGGAAGGGAUGAGUAUCCGUGCUUGCUCAGCACUGAUCCUGACACUAUACCAAACCCCAUCGUGGAAUGUAUCCACCCUCAGUCUCUCCCCUUACAUUUUUCUUAUACUUCAGACAUGUCAUUUCUCAGGAAAACUUGACUCACAGAUUAAUAUGUAUUUUCUAGUACUUUUCCACAUGACCUGACACUUGGAAUUCAGUAAUAAUUCUUUCGAUAAGUACCCAUCUUUUUAGAUAUUAAGGUCCAUGAGAGCAAGGGAUGUGUCUGGUUUUCUCGGUGCAGCUUUUACGUAUGACAUCUUUCCUAAUGCUUUGACACUAGGUGAGACGUGAUGAACAUGCGUUCAAACAUAAAAUAAGGGAUGAAGGAACAAAGGAAAGAAAACUAGAUCUGUUUUUGUUAAAGUAAAAAUGUAAUGUAUAUUUACUCAAGUAAUCUACCUCUGAAUUAGUCACAUCUGUAAUAUAUAAAAAGCAUGGAACCACAGACUGGUUUCAUCCUGGAUGUUUAAUAGCAUUUGACCUUCUCAUUUUAUGAAUAUUGUGAUAUAGACCAAAAGUAGAUGAAUUUCCUGGAAAAGAAACAUAAGUUACAGCAUCAAAUAAAAAUGAAUUCUGUAUUAUCUACUGUGAAUGAAUA